UACGUAGGGUGCAAGCGUUAAUCGGAAUUACUGGGCGUAAAGCGUGCGCAGGCGGUUAUGCAAGACAGAUGUGAAAUCCCCGGGCUCAACCUGGGAACCGCAUUUGUGACUGCAUGGCUAGAGUACGGUAGAGGGGGAUGGAAUUCCGCGUGUAGCAGUGAAAUGCGUAGAUAUGCGGAGGAACACCGAUGGCGAAGGCAAUCCCCUGGACAGUUACUGACACUGAGGCACGAAGGCCAGGGGAGCAAACGGG
rnacentral:rRNA from 1 species